rnacentral:rRNA from 1 species
GACGAACGCUGGCGGCGUGCCUAAUACAUGCAAGUCGAACGCACUCUCGUUUAGAUUGAAGGAGUUUGCUCCUGAUUGAUAAACAUUUGAGUGAGUGGCGGACGGGUGAGUAACACGUGGGUAACCUGCCCUAAAGUGGGGGAUAACAUUUGGAAACAGAUGCUAAUACCGCAUAAAACCUAACACCGCAUGGUGUAGGGUUGAAAGAUGGUUUCGGCUAUCACUUUAGGAUGGACCCGCGGUGCAUUAGUUAGUUGGUGAGGUAAAGGCUCACCAAGACCGUGAUGCAUAGCCGACCUGAGAGGGUAAUCGGCCACACUGGGACUGAGACACGGCCCAGACUCCUACGGGGGGCAGCAGUAGGGAAUCUUCCACAAUGGACGAAAGUCUGAUGGAGCAACGCCGCGUGAGUGAAGAAGGUUUUCGGAUCGUAAAACUCUGUUGUUGGAGAAGAAUGUAUCUGAUAGUAACUGAUCAGGUAGUGACGGUAUCCAACCAGAAAGCCACGGCUAACUACGUG